CUACGGAGGGUCCAAGCGUUAUCCGGAAUCAUUGGGUUUAAAGGGUCCGCAGGCGGUCAAUUAAGUCAGAGGUGAAAGCCCAUCGCUCAACGAUGGAACUGCCUUUGAUACUGGUUGACUUGAGUUAUACGGAAGUAGAUAGAAUAAGUAGUGUAGCGGUGAAAUGCAUAGAUAUUACUUAGAAUACCGAUUGCGAAGGCAGUCUACUACGUAUAUACUGACGCUGAGGGACGAAAGCGUGGGGAGCGAACAGGAUUAGAAACCCUUGUAGUCC
rnacentral:rRNA from 1 species